rnacentral:rRNA from 1 species
GACGAACGCUGGCGGCGUGCUUAACACAUGCAAGUCGAACGAAGUGGCGAACGGGUGAGUAACACGUGGGUGAUCUGCCUUGCACUUCGGGAUAAGCUUGGGAAACUGGGUCCAAUACCGGAUAGUGCAAGAUGAGCUCGCGGCCUAUCAGCUUGUUGGUGGGGUAAUGGCCUACCAAGGCGUCGACGGGUAGCCGGCCUGAGAGGGGGUACGGCCACCUUGGGACUGAGAUACGGCGCAGACUCCUACGGGAGGCAGCAGUGGGGAAUAUUGCACAAUGGGCGGGAGCCUGAUGCAGCGACGCCGCGUGGGGGAUGAAGGCCUUCGGGUUGUAAACUCCUUUCGACAGGGACGCGGUACCUGUAUAAGAAGCACCGGCUAACUACGUGCCAGCAGCCGCGGUAAUUC